GAUGAACGCUGGCGGCGUGCCUAAUACAUGCAAGUCGAGCGAACGGACGAGAAGCUUGCUUUUCUGAUGUUAGCGGCGGACGGGUGAGUAACACGUGGAUAACCUACCUAUAAGACUGGGAUAACUUCGGGAAACCGGAGCUAAUACCGGAUAAUAUUUUGAACCGCAUGGUUCAAUAGUGAAAGACGGUCUUGCUGUCACUUAUAGAUGGAUCCGCGCCGCAUUAGCUAGUUGGUAAGGUAACGGCUUACCAAGGCAACGAUGCAUAGCCGACCUGAGAGGGUGAUCGGCCACACUGGAACUGAGACACGGUCCAGACUCCUACGGGAGGCAGCAGUAGGGAAUCUUCCGCAAUGGGCGAAAGCCUGACGGAGCAACGCCGCGUGAGUGAUGAAGGUCUUCGGAUCGUAAAACUCUGUUAUUAGGGAAGAACAUAUGUGUAAGUAACUGUGCACAUCUUGACGGUACCUAAUCAGAAAGCCACGGCUAACUACGUG
rnacentral:rRNA from 1 species